GUAAGCAAAAUGGGUCGCAAGAUAAAAGAUCUGACAUCUGAUCAGAAAAGUCGUCUCGCUGCGUUGAAUGCUGCCGGUUACAGGAAAAGUGAUAUAGUCAAAUUUACAGGCAGUAAGCAGAGUACUGUUUACAGUUUUUUGAAGAGGUAUGGACAUCGGGUGAUAUAGAAAACAUUCGAAGAACAGACAGACCAAAAUCCUUUUAUGACCGGAACAUGAUAAAACUUUCCCGAUGUUUAAAAAAUGUCGUCAUAAAUCUUUAUCCGAAAUUACUAAUAGUUUCAAUGAAAGCAUUUGAACGUAAAUUAUAUUCUGAUUGGUUUCACAAGCGGUCAGUAAAGAAAAAUGU
rnacentral:lncRNA from 1 species